rnacentral:rRNA from 1 species
UACGGAGGGUGCAAGCGUUAUCCGGAUUUACUGGGUUUAAAGGGUGCGUAGGCGGGUCUUUAAGUCAGUGGUGAAAUCUCUCGGCUUAACCGAGAAACUGCCAUUGAUACUAUUGGUCUUGAAUACAGUUGAGGUGGGCGGAAUGUGUCGUGUAGCGGUGAAAUGCUUAGAUAUGACACAGAACACCGAUUGCGAAGGCAGCUCGCUAAACUGUGAUUGACGCUGAGGCACGAAAGCGUGGGGAUCAAACAGG